UACGUAGGGUGCGAGCGUUAAUCGGAAUUACUGGGCGCAAAGCGUGCGCAGGCGGCUUUGCAAGACAGAUGUGAAAUCCCCGGGCUCAACCUGGGAACUGCAUUUGUGACUGCAAGGCUAGAGUACGGCAGAGGGGGAUGGAAUUCCGCGUGUAGCAGUGAAAUGCGUAGAUAUGCGGAGGAACACCAAUGGCGAAGGCAAUCCCCUGGGCCUGUACUGACGCUCAUGCACGAAAGCGUGGGGAGCAAACAGG
rnacentral:rRNA from 1 species